UGAAAAGAACGCUAAUACCGCAUAAGAUUGUAGUUUCGCAUGGAGCAGCAAUCAAAGGAGCAAUCCGCUGAAAGAUGGACUCGCGUCCGAUUAGAUAGUUGGCGGGGUAACGGCCCACCAAGUCGACGAUCGGUAGCCGGACUGAGAGGUUGAUCGGCCACAUUGGGACUGAGACACGGCCCAGACUCCUACGGGAGGCAGCAGUGAGGGAUAUUGGGGAAUGGGAGAAACCCUGACCCCGCAACGCCGCGUGAGGGAUGACGGUUUUCGGAUUGUAAACCUCUGUCCUCUGUGAAGAUAGUGACGGGAGCAGAGGAGGAAGCUCCGGCUAACUACGUGCCAGCAGCCGCG
rnacentral:rRNA from 1 species